AAAAUGGACCCAGAAAUGUCGCUCCGUUGUUUGGACAAUUUUAUUUCUCGAGGAGCUAGAAAAACCUUAUCGUCGCCGCCCGCACGUUUUGUACCUUAGGCUCAUCAGAGACAAUCAUAUCCAGUGGUGUGGCAGCCACGAGUGAGCCAGCCCUGCAAACCCUGUGGAUGGAGGAUGCAGUGGACAGUGGGAGGAAGCAUCCUGAAGCUCUCUUUGCAGACCACCCUGUGUGAUUCUCCACUCGCCGACCAGACAAGACAAACCGCAGGUCUCAGUUGCAGCUCAUCCAUGUCUGAUCUUGCUCGGGCAGAUUCAGCAACACUGCCAGAGACUUCCUGUAAUCUAUUACAGUUGUUCAGGAACAGGUCACUCAGGUUAAUCUUGUGUGAACAACUGAAAAUAUUGUUUUUUCAUCUUUACAUACUGUGUAUUUGAAAUAUUCUUGUUUAAUUGUUAUUGUUAUUUACUUUAUUGCUAUCAAAUAAAUAUCCAAGUAAUAUUGUUCAAAGUUAGCGUUAUGUUCAUAUGUGUUACAAAUGCCUGUAAAUCAAAUUGAGUUCAGUGACAAUUACUGUUUGUUUGAAUCAAUUUAUUAAUAACAUAAAACCUUUAAACUAAUGCAACACAUAUAACAAUGUAACAAAUAUAUUCAAAUAAAUAAACUUCUCAAUACAUAACUCAUUUGGGAACUAAUCUUUCUAGAAGUGAAAACCGUCUGUCCGUCCUCUCCCUGCUCUCCUCUCCUCAGCCUCUCUUUGCUGCCUCAUGUCCUCUCUGAUGAGGUCUAGCAGCUCAUCAUCUCUUUUCCUCUUUCUCCCUGUCAUAGGUGGCUGAGCCGCCCGUCAUCGCUGUCGUUUUGGUCACCCACUGCUGCGCUUGGCCC
ensembl:lncRNA